GUUGUUCACUGAAUAGAUUCUGUUUAGCACAAGUUGUGAUGGAUAUGGAUUUGCUACUAAUGAUUCACUAUUUCUAGGGUUCUAGAGUGCUAUGUGUUCUGCCUAUAUGGUGGAGUAGCUGUAUCUUAUCUGGCCAAGUUUUGGGUGCUCCACAUAAGCCGUGUUAGCAAUUGACCAAAAGUAAAGCCCUUGUGACUAUAUUUUUCACACAAAACAAGUACCUAGAGUUCCAUCUUCCACGCACUAGCCUAACUCAAUGCAGGGAAGGACAGUGGUGCCUCAUAAUGUCACUCCAUUGCCCAUGGGGGAUUAUCAUUGCCCCAGUGCAUGUAGAUGCAGGGGCAGGAGGGAAAGAUGCAAAAGCUCUUUUUAACCAGCUGUAAGGCAGUGUGCAAUGCAACACCUGCAUUAGUUAGUGGAUGAGGGCGCAAGACCAGCUUCAGGGUUUAUGGCUUAAGCCAAGAGGAGAAACAAAGGGCUCUGCAUAUGAAAAGAUACCAACAUUAUUGUUUCCAUGAAAUUGGUUGGAAGAGAAGAAGAAGAUCCAGAGAAGAUCUUAGUAAUAAGAUAGUUUUUAGGAAAAUAGAUAUUUAGUUUUAGGUCAUUUCUUCUAAUUUCAUAUAUGGAGUGCUUGUCUUUUGUUUUUGUUUUGACUUUGUGAAACUUGAUAACUAUGGAUGAAACUAUGUAAUAUUGAUGAAACUAUGUAUAUGUAUGGAUGAAACUUGCUACUAUUGGUAACAUGUGUUGGAUAUGCUAUAUUGGUACUAUGUAUGGAUGAAA